rnacentral:rRNA from 1 species
CAGGGAUUGCCCUAGUAACGGCGAGUGAAGCGGCAACAGCUCAAAUUUGAAAUCUGGCCCUUGGGUCCGAGUUGUAAUUUGUAGAGGAUGUUUUUGGUGCGGUAUCUUCCGAGUUCCUUGGAACAGGACGCCUUAGAGGGUGAGAGCCCCGUACGGUUGAAUGCCUAGCCUUUGUAAAACUCCUUCGACGAGUCGAGUAGUUUGGGAAUGCUGCUCUAAAUGGGAGGUAAAUUUCUUCUAAAGCUAAAUACUGGCCAGAGACCGAUAGCGCACAAGUAGAGUGAUCGAAAGAUGAAAAGCACUUUGAAAAGAGGGUUAAAUAGCACGUGAAAUUGUUGAAAGGGAAGGAUUUAUGACCAGACUUUUUCUGGGCGGAUCAUCCGGUGUUCUCACCGGUGCACUUCGCUCAGUUUAGGCCAGCAUCGAUUUUCGGUGGGGGAUAAAAGCUUUAGGAAUGUGGCUCCUCCGGGAGUGUUAUAGCCUAUUGUAUAAUACCCUACUGGGGAUCGAGGUACGCGCUUCUGCAAGGAUGCUGGCGUAAUGGUUAUCAAUCACCCGUCUUGAAACACGGACCAAGGAGUCGAACAUUUGUGCAAGUGUUUGGGUGUUAAACCCUCACGCGUAAUGAAAGUGAACGGAGGUGAGAGCCCUUACGGGUGCAUCAUCGACCGAUCCUGAUGUUUUCGGAUGGAUUUGAGUAAGAGCAUAACUGUUCGGACCCGAAAGAUGGUGAACUAUGCGUGGAUAGGGUGAAGCCAGAGGAAACUCUGGUGGAGGCUCGCAGCGGUUCUGACGUGCAAAUCGAUCGUCAAAUCUGCGCAUGGGG